GACGAACGCUGGCGGCGUGCCUAAUACAUGCAAGUCGAACGCUUUUUCUUUCACCGGAGCUUGCUCCACCGAAAGAAAAAGAGUGGCGAACGGGUGAGUAACACGUGGGUAACCUGCCCAUCAGAAGGGGAUAACACUUGGAAACAGGUGCUAAUACCGUAUAACACUAUUUUCCGCAUGGAAGAAAGUUGAAAGGCGCUUUUGCGUCACUGAUGGAUGGACCCGCGGUGCAUUAGCUAGUUGGUGAGGUAACGGCUCACCAAGGCAACGAUGCAUAGCCGACCUGAGAGGGUGAUCGGCCACACUGGGACUGAGACACGGCCCAGACUCCUACGGGAGGCAGCAGUAGGGAAUCUUCGGCAAUGGACGAAAGUCUGACCGAGCAACGCCGCGUGAGUGAAGAAGGUUUUCGGAUCGUAAAACUCUGUUGUUAGAGAAGAACCAACGGAUGAGAGUAAUU
rnacentral:rRNA from 1 species